GCCGCCAUGGUGAAAUUGGUAGACACGCUGCUCUUAGGAAGCAGUGCUCAAGCAUCUCGGUUCGAAUCCGAGUGGCAGCA
rnacentral:tRNA from 1 species